UACGUAGGGUGCAAGCGUUGUCCGGAAUUAUUGGGCGUAAAGAGCUCGUAGGCGGUCUGUCGCGUCGGCUGUGAAAACCCGGAGCUCAACUCCGGGCCUGCAGUCGAUACGGGCAGACUGGAGUUCGGCAGGGGAGACUGGAAUUCCUGGUGUAGCGGUGAAAUGCGCAGAUAUCAGGAGGAACACCGGUGGCGAAGGCGGCCUGCUGGGCAGUGAGCUGACGCUGAGGCGCGACAGCGUGGGGAGCAAACAGG
rnacentral:rRNA from 1 species